CCCUUUGCUGCUAUAACAGCCUCCACUCUUCUGGGAAGUUUUUCCACUAGAUGUUGGAACAUUGCUGCUAUAACAGCCUCCACUCUUUUGGGAAGUUUUUCCACUAGAUGUUGGAACAUUGCUGCGGGGACUUGCUUCCAUUCAGCCACAAGAGUAUUAGUGAGGUCGGUCACUGAUGUUGAGGGUGAUUAGGCCUGGCUCGCAGUCGGCGUUCCAAUUCAUCACAAAGAUGUUUUUUGGGGUUGAGGUCAGGGCUCUGUGCAGGCCAGUCAAGUUCUUCCACACCGAUCUUGACUAACCAUUUCUGUAUGGACCUCACUUUAUGCACGGGGGCAUUGUCAUGCUGAAACAGGAAAUGACCUUCCUCAAACUGUUGCCACAAAGUUGGGGGCACAGAAUCGUCUAGAAUGUAAUUGUGUACUGUAGCAUUAAGAUUUCUUUUCACUGGAAGUAAGGGGCCUGAACCAUGAAAAACAGCCCCAGACCAUUAUUCCUCCUCCACCAAACUUUACAGUUGGCACUAUGCGUUCUCCUGGCAUUCUCCAAACCCAGAUUCGUCCGUGGGAUUGCCAGAUGGUGGAGCGUGAUUCAUCACUUCAGAGAACGCGUUUCCACUGCUCCAGAGUCCAAUGGCGGCGAGCUUUACACUACUCCAGCCGACGCUUGGCAUUGCGCAUGGUGAUCUUAGGCUUGUAUGCGGCUGCUCUGCCAUGAAAACCUAUUUCAUGAAGGUCCCGACUAACAGUUACUGUGCUGACGUUGCUUCCAGAAGCAGUUUGGAACUCGUACUGAGUGUUGCGACUGAGGACAGACGACUGUUACGAGCUACGAACUACAGCACUCGACAAUCCCGUUCUGUGAGCUUGUGUGGCCUACCACUUUGCGGCUAAGCCGUUGUUUCCCCUAGACUUGUUCACUUCACAAUAACAGCACUUACAGCACUUGUUAGUGAUGAUUCUGCUAUCAGAGAUGAUCUCCCAUUGGUUGUUGGUGAUCUAGCUGCUAUCAGAGAUGAUCUCCCAUUGGUUGUUGGUGAUCGAGCUGCUAUCAGAGAUGAUCUCCCAUUGGUUGUUGGCGAUCGAGCUGCUAUCAGAGAUGAUCUCCCAUUGGUUGUUGGCGAUCUAGCUGCUGUCAGAGAUGAUCUCCCAUUGGUUGUUGGCGAUCUAGCUGCUAUCAGAGAUGAUCUCCCAUUGGUUGUUGGCGAUCUAGCUGCUGUCAGAGGUGAUCUCCCAUUGGUUGUUGGCGAACGAGCUGCUAUCAGACCUGAUAUCUUCCCCCAUGGUGGUCUGUGGCCAUGUUCUCAACAUUUCAGGCGUCUCAAAUGGCACCCUAUUCCCGAUGUUAUAGUGCACUACUUUUGACCAGGGUCCAUUGGGUAGGGAACUAUAUGGGGGUGCCAUUUGGGAUGUUGCCCACGGCUGCCUCAUACUGUUGUUUUGAUCACUCCCCUCCUGCUGAUACAGGAUUGUAUUCAUUAGGUAUCAAACGGAAGACGACUUGGACUUGUCCAAUAAUAACCGACUGGUUUUGUUUUCAGUUGAAAAAUGUCCUCAAUCAUCGCCUGAUCUCAAUGUUUGUACAUAGAAUAAGUGAUUGUAGGGCCUUUUAAACACAUCUACAAUGAUGAUCUGUCUCUCUCUGAGGAUGGGUGAGGAUUUCAACCAUAAUGAUGACCUGUCUCUCUGAGGAUUUCAACCAUAAUGAUGACCCGUCUCUCUGGGGAUGGGUGUGGAUUUCAACCAUAAUGAUGACCCUUCUCUCUGAGGAUGGGUGCGGAUUUCAACCAUAAUGAUGACCCUUCUCUCUGAGGAUGGGUGCGGAUUUCAACCAUAAUGAUGACCCAUCUCUCUGAGGAUUUCAACCAUAAUGAUGACCCGUCUCUCUGAGGAUUUCAACCAUAAUGAUGACCCGUCUCUCUGAGGAUUUCAACCAUAAUGAUGACCCGUCUCUCUGAGGAUUUCAACCAUAAUGAUGACCCAUCUCUCUGGGGAUUUCAACCAUAAUGAUGACCCGUCUCUCUGAGGAUUUCAACCAUAAUGAUGACCCGUCUCUCUGAGGAUUUCAACCAUAAUGAUGACCCAUCUCUCUGGGGAUUUCAACCAUAAUGAUGACCUGUCUCUCUGAGGAUUUCAACCAUAAUGAUGACCCGUCUCUCUGAGGAUUUCAACCAUAAUGAUGACCCGUCUCUCUGAGGAUUUCAACCAUAAUGAUGACCCGUCUCUCUGAGGAUGGGUGAGGAUUUCAACCAUGAUGACCGACCCGUCUGAUGAUAGGUGAGGAUUUCAACCAUGGUAAAAAAAAAAUGCACACUACUCUUGACCUUCUGAGGUCAUACACCUCAGCAAGAACCUCUGCUGUCACUCCGUAUCUAAUUCUGCAGUCCUGAACUUAGAGGAGUUCCCUUUCUGAUCACAAAACAAUCGCUAGGUGAUGUUAUGAAGGAAGUGGUGCUUCGAUGUUUAAAGGGUUUCCGUCAUAUGUUCUAUUUUUAUUUAUAUAUAUUUUUUUUUUCUUCCCGAAAAUGUUGUAAAUGAAAUGUUGUAUCCAGGUUAUAUUCAACUAGAAGACAUUAUCUGAAAUGUGUGGAAUGUAGAAGUUUACUACCAUUAAUGUCGGCCUAAGCCAAGUUGGCUUCUUUUCUGUCAUCUAUAUUUUUUUAUUAUUAUUCACUUUUGAUACUGUGAAAACCUUUUCAUUCAGAAAGAUUAAAACAUC
ensembl:lncRNA